GGCUCCGUGGCGCAAUGGAUAGCGCGUCGGACUUCUAGUGGGUGAAGGGCAUUCGGAGGCUGUGGGUUCGAGUCCCACCGGAGUCG
rnacentral:tRNA from 1 species